UGCUCUUCUUCUAGUUGGGGGAAGCACGGGGAACUCGUAUUAAUACCGCAUACGACCUACGGGAGAAAGGGGGCAGUUUACUGCUCUCGCUAUUAGAUGAGCCUAAGUCGGAUUAGCUAGAUGGUGGGGUAAAGGCCUACCAUGGCGACGAUCUGUAGCUGGUCUGAGAGGAUGAUCAGCCACACCGGGACUGAGACACGGCCCGGACUCCUACGGGAGGCAGCAGUGGGGAAUAUUGGACAAUGGGGGAAACCCUGAUCCAGCCAUGCCGCGUGUGUGAAGAAGGCCUUUUGGUUGUAAAGCACUUUAAGCAGUGAAGAAGACUCCAUGGUUAAUACCCAUGGACGAUGACAUUAGCUGCAGAAUAAGCACCGGCUAACUCUGUGCCAGCAGCCGCGGUAAUACAGAGGGUGCAAGCGUUAAUCGGAAUUACUGGGCGUAAAGGGAGCGUAGGUGGCUCUAUAAGUCAGAUGUGAAAUCCCCGGGCUUAACCUGGGAACUGCAUCUGAAACUGUAGAGCUAGAGUAUGUGAGAGGAAGGUAGAAUUCCAGGUGUAGCGGUGAAAUGCGUAGAGAUCUGGAGGAAUACCGAUGGCGAAGGCAGCCUUCUGGCAUAAUACUGACACUGAGGCUCGAAAGCGUGGGUAGCAAACAGGAUUAGAUACCCUGGUAGUCCACGCCGUAAACGAUGUCUACUAGUCGUUGGGUCCCUUGAGGACUUAGUGACGCAGCUAACGCAAUAGGUAGACCGCCUGGGGAGUACGGCCGCAAGGUUAAAACUCAAAUGAAUUGACGGGGGCCCGCACAAGCGGUGGAGCAUGGUGGUUUAAUUCGAUGCAACGGCGAAGACCUUACCUGGUCUUGAACAAUAAUUCUAGAAUCCUGCAGAAGAUGCGGGGAGGGGCCUUCGGAAUUAAGAAAUACAGGUGCUGCAUGGCCUUGUCGUCAGCCUCGGUGUUUGUUGAAAUGUUGGGUUAAAGUCCGUAACGAGCGCCACCCCUAUCCUUUAUUUGGCCAGCGGGAGUAUUGUCCGGACUUCUAGGAUAUACUGCCAGGACACUGGAAGAUAAGUGCGGACAGAGCUUCAGUCAUUCAUGCUUUACGACGACAGGCUCUACACCACGUGUC
rnacentral:rRNA from 1 species